CCUCUCUUGAGUUUCUAAGUCCAUCCCUGACUGCACCGACAACCCCCGUACCCCCUCUCUUCUCCAACAACCACCAGUGCCACUACCACCAAGAACUUUACAAACUUCACCUCUAGGAAUUCCAGCCGUGGCUCCCUUAAAUUUCUGAUGUAGAUCAGGGUUAUCUAAUCACGGUCUCUCAUUGACAUAUAUAUAUAUAUAUAUAUAUAUAUAUAUAUAUAUAACAUACACUGAUACAAAUAUAUAUAUUUCCUAUAUUAUAUAAUAUUUUAUUUUAUUGUAAGGGUACAUUAAUCAGUUCAUGGUUCAAUUUCUUCAAAAUUUCACAUUUGUACAAAUAAAAAAUAGUAAGAAGUUUUCCAAGCAAUAUGGAAAUAAUUGCACAUUUUGCAUAUGUUUUUUUUUUUUUUGGGACACUUAACCGUAAUUGGAAUUACAAAAUUUGUAAAAGGCAGUGUAUCAAAUUCACAUAAGAGGUUAAAUUUUUUAUUUUUUUUUACCACGAGAGGUUAAAAAAAAUAACGAUCAAUACAGAUUCUGAGUCCGGUACACACACCGCCCCUUCCACGACCGAACCGGGUCAGCACCGCUAACUAUAUAAAUUCCUAAUUCCUAACAAGAAACAGAACGUUUUGACACCAAUUCGUGCUUAAUUGCUUAAACAACACUGACCCAGCAAAAGUCCCAACAAACCCAGUUUGUAAAGGGCAACAAAAUGGAAGAAGAAAGGAGCGAAUCGGUGGACGACCUCGUUCACAGAGGAGAUGUUGAUGAGGCCAUCUCUCUUCUUGAACGGGUGGUAUCGAAUUCAUCGCAUUCGGAUCUUCAAUUGUCCUCUGCUCUCUUCGACUUGUCCAAACUCUACCACUCCAAAGGCAAGCCGACGAGGCUCACUCUCGCGCACUUCUCAUCAGACAACGGUCUCAGCAGACUCCAAAUCCUCAAGGUGAUUUAAAAUUUUUGAAUAAAAAGUCAGAGGAAGAAGGCAUUGCAGCUUCUAGGGUUUCGGCUAGUAAUGGGUCUACAGAUGAUGAAGGAACGGGUUGUGGCUUCUGUCUUGAAGGAUAUAUUGGGAAACCUUCAAAAAUGCCUCCAGAUGAUUUGCCUCAUGAAAGUUGUUCCGACGAUGAUUGGGAAGCUAUCGCUGUUCGUGCUCCAGAUGAAUUACUUCCUCCUGAAUGCUUGCCAGGAGUUUCAAAACUCUCACUGGAGGAGACCAAAGUUAAAACACAUAAAAGGCGUGGAAGGGGAACAUUCUCAUAUAGGAAACAUGGCUUGUAUAGUGACCAGCAGACUGAUGAGUCUAAUGUUGAUGACUGAGAAAAUGGAAUUUUGUGCCAUAGUUAUGAAGGAGACACAGAAAUUAGAAAAGCAAAAUAUGGUACAGUUCAUGUUCUUGCUCUGGAUGACUUACCACCAAGUACGUGGACAAUUGACCUGGAAAAGCUCUUGAAAAGUUUCCAAGAUCGCGGAGUUGUGAUUCGCUGGGUUAAUGAUACAACUGCUCUUGCAGUUUUUAGAACACCUUCAAUUGGUAAGCAUAUUUUAACUAAAGAAUACAUAUUUUAAAAAUAGAGAUUAACGCUUAAUGACCUUUAAAAGUGGAUUAAAUAUGAGUGAAUUCAACUUCUUUCUAAUUUAAAAGGCAGACCAAUUUAACAUGCAAAGAUUGUAAAGUUACCCUAGGAGAAAUUUUGACAUCACAGCAUAGGAUACUAGUUUUAGUGUAUACGAGAAAUAGAAUUACAAAUCCAAGAACUAGGUGGUGGAAUUUCAGAGGGAGAAACUAAAAUUAUUUAAGAAUAGGAUAUGAGAAGUAUCAAAGUUAUUAUUUAUCAAAAAAAGAAAAAAGAAAAAAAUGUAGUAGUGAAGUACAGGACCGGAAACCCUAGGCUCUAUUGUAGAGAGUAGGCACAAUGCUUAAAAUAAAUCGAGAGUAGGCACAAUGCUUAAAUAAAUCGAGAGUAGGCACAAUGCUUCAAAUAAAUCUUAAGGGGGUGACUAGAUCUUGUUCAAUUUUAACUAACAAUAACUGAAUUUAAAAUUAUCACAAUUAUAUUUGAAAUGCCACAAUAUGAAUCCCAUUAAGGAUAGAGAAUGAACACAAGAUUUUUCGAAAACUCCAGCAGGGAAAAAUCACGAAACUUAGUCUAAGCAGAUCAAAUACAUUGACUAGCUAGAUAUUACAAAUUCUACAAUUCCAUUUAUUCUAAACCACACUUAGGUUUGUUACUAUUUGUAGGUACUAGGUUCACUGUCAAUUUGUCAAACAUAAAAUAACCAAUGGUGAGGCAUCAGAUAAAACAUAAUAGGAUGACAGUGUUCAAAAACACCAUUAACUCCCUUGGUGAAGGUGUGAAGUGUAGGGAAAAUAUGGGUGUGAGAGCAUAAGAGCUUUCUAUGUCUAAAGCUCCAUCUUGUCAUAUGGUUCUGCCUAUUUUCCUUGGCCUUAGGUCAUCUCCUUUUAUAAGUCAAGUUAGAGUGGGUGAUGUCAUUGAUGACAUCACGUGUGGUCCAUUAAUACAAUAAUGAAAAGAGAUUAAUUUCUCAAAUAAUUAAGAAGCAAUGUUAAUUAAGAUGGGGUUAAUUUGUACGCGAGUCAAAAUGGUAUUUCUCUCUCUACAAGUCUGGUCAACUCGACGGACCCUGGGCUUCAGCAACCAAACCAAGUACUUCCUCGAAUCCCAGGUAAUUCUAAGUCCUGCUCCUAACUAAGGUCUUUGAUCUUCUGUUCGAGAUAUGUUGAUGAUGUAGUAACUUUGAUCGUUAAUCAUCAAAUGUGGGCCAUUGUUGCUGUUGUGGCGUAGUCGUUAACCGUUUGACCAAGUUAUGUAGGCCAUUGUUGAUGAUGUGGCAUUUGCCAAGUGGACUCGAGCAUAUUGACACCCACAUUUAGUCCUCCUGUGCGAGUGUGCUUCGUAGAAAGUAGAAGGUUAGUUUGGCAUAAAAUGAUGUUUUGUGCUUUUAUAAGCAAAGGAGGAAUCUUUCAAGAUUCCUAAAGGAAAAAGAUUUAUGAGAAAAAGUUUAAGCAACGAGGUGUCCCUAGAUGAGGUAUCUCAGAAAGGGUCAUCUCGUGGAGAUUUCUCAACAAAAAAUUAGCAAUGAGAUAUCAUGCGUGACUUGACCGAAGUGCUCGUCGAGGCAGGACUCAAGGCUAAGAGCUCGUCGAGGUGGUGAGACAUCUCGUAGAAGUUUUCUUGGAGGAAACCUACGUACGACGCAUCCCUAUGUGGGACCUUCUAUAGUGGGGCAUCUCUGAAAAAGGCAUAUCGAGGGUAAGAGCACGCCAAAUGAAAGGCUCGAGACACUGCAACAAGAAUGAAGCGUGUUGUGCCAGGUUACUCGAUAAACUAUUAGGACUUGAAUUAAAAAAAAAAAAACACUAGUAGGACUUGGUUCAUUUGAGGCUUUAGGUCACUCGAUGACUUCAUUGGUGAAGUUUGGUCAUGCUCUGGGUCACUCUAUUGACUGUUAUGAUAGUUCAUUCGAGGCUCUAGGUCGCUCGAUGAUUUCAAGUCUGAUUUGAGGCUCUGGUCAAGUUUGUGGGCCAUUUGUUGAUGUUGCUAUGUGGACCACAAAUAUACAGGUACCUACAGUAGGUAGUCCCCCUACGCGGGUGAGCUUCGUAUAAAUUAGAAGGUUAGUCAUGCAUAAAAUGAUAUUUUGUGAUUGUAUAAGCCAGAAGAGGAAUCUUUUGAGAUUCCUAACGUUGAGGGAUCUGAUGAUGAAAAGUGUCCCAACGUUUUGCUGAUCGAGGCUCUAGGUCCUUCGAUCGGCUAUUGUGAUUUAGUUCAUUCGAGACUUUGGUUUGCUCGAUGACCAGGUUGUGGGAGUAAGAUCAAGGCUUUGGGUCCUUUGAUUAGCUGAUCGACUAAAUGACCUUGGCACAUUCGAGGCUUUGGGCGUUUGAUGUCCAUGUUGUGGGAGUCGGAUUGAGGCUCUGUGGCGCUCACCGAAUGACCUUGGCACAUUCGAGGCUCUGGGCAGUCGAUGUCCAGGUUGUGGGAGUCGAAUCGAGGCUCUAGGGCGCUCGAUCGAUUGCAUGACCUUGUCACAUUCGAGGCUUUGGGGCUAUUGAUGUCUAGGUUGCAGGAGUCGGAUCGAGGCUCUGGGGCGCUUGAUCAACUGAAUGACGUUGGCACAUUCGAGGCUUUGGGGCUGUCGAUGUCCAGGUUGUGGGAGUCAGAUUGAGGCUCCGGGACGCGCUCGAUGGACUGUGUUUGAAGAAUUAGAUUGUUCGAGUGUUUCGUAGCUUUGGGGUGCUCGAUGGACUGUGUUUGAAGAGUUAGAUCGUUCGAGUGUUUCAAGGCUUUGGGGCACUCGAUGGUUUGCAAGUGUGGCAAGUCAAUGUAUUCAUCGAAUGAACAGGUAUAAUAUAACGUUAAAACUUAUAAUUAAAACUUAUAAUUGGCAUACAAACCAUCAUAAAUUAAAAUAAGAUAAUAAAUUAAUAAUACAAAGAGAAGGACCAUAAUACAUAGGCUGCAUCUUUAUUUGUAUUGUAAAAUAUAUAUUUAACAGUGUUUAGGUCAAAUGAACUUAAAAUAUCGUGUAACAAAAUCAUGUCAUUAGGUAGGUUCGGACUUAUUACCCAUGAGCAUGAUAUUUAGUAGCAAAAAAGUGUGAGGCAUCUUGUGUCAUAUACACACUCAUUAGAUACAUGUAUGAAAUAUGCAUUGAUGGGACAAUUUAUAGCAUGAAAGAUAUGUAACUGACUUUGUUGCAUUGAGAUAUGGGAGCCGAAAAUAGUGAUAACACUUAAUAUUAUAAUUUUACAUAUGUUGAAAAUAAAUGACUUUUUUCUUUUAGGGCAAGAUUCAAUGCAAAUCUGAUUCGCCAUCUAGUCUGUCUAAGGCUGUAGUCUCAUGCUGUCUGUCUAAGGCUGUAGUCUCAUGCUGUCUGGCUAUUAGUAUAGGUGAAAUCUAAGGACCGUAAUCCUAGACUCUAAUGUAGAGUUAGCGCAAGGGGGCAAUCUUGACCUAGAGGGGGCGAAUAGGUUAGUAGGGAACCGUGAUAUGCAUCGAUCCUAUCUCAGUGUUGCGACUUUACCACGUCUCAACCUUCAUGGAGAAAUCAAAAACUGCUCUAUAGGAAACGAUCUGGUUUUUAGGGUUGAUCAUCAAAUCAUCAAGGAGCGAGAAUUUACCUUGCGAUCAUGUCUAGUAGGUUGCUUUGAUAGAGACGUAGGGAGUAUUGACGGGAUUGAAGCGUGGGCGUCGAAAACUGGAAGGUAUCAAGUGGGGUGAAAGUUUCUCCUCUGCCCAAUGAUCUGCUUUUAUUCCGGUUUCCAUCGGAAGCUGAGGCCUUAAGGGUUUUGGAUGAAGGGAGGAAGAGAUGGGGCGAAGCUUUAUUAUCCAAACAUUUGGUACUUCGCGGCUGGUUGUUCUGCUGUAAAAGAGAGAAUAAUACGAAGGGUGAUCCUGUUUGGUUAACCCCUCCAUCUAUGGUGUAACAAGCUAUUUGAAGCAAUUGGGAACUUAUGUGGUGGAUUUCUAGGUGUCGAGGUAGACGUUUCAGCGAAUAGACAGAGAAUCCUCCUCUAUGUUUCCGUCGAAAAAGUGAUACCUGAGUAUGUUUUUGUUGAGGACCAAUGUGUGGCUUUCAGGGUUAAUCUGAUAGAGGAAAUCACACCUCGCAUCCUUCCGAAAUCCUACUAUGGUCUAGGGGAGAGCCCACACAUCCUGGCUGCAACUGAAUGCAGUCGCCGAAAACCACAGAACCACCAUGGCCUCGAAGGUAAGAGACGACUGCCUUCUCAUGCGCCAGAAGCGCGUAGACGAGACAAAGUCAAUCAUGCCCUCAGUCAUCGCCUUCCGUUCCCUCGUAAUAUCGUGCUAACAGAUACCAACCACGUGGCCACGAUCGUGGCAUUAAAGAUGAUUCUUAUGUUGUGGAUUCUUUUGGGCCUAAGCGUGGAUCUACAAAGGUCUAUGGGCUUAACAUAACAAGUGGGCCGCUUGUUCAUCACGGCCCACAGGAGAUUAAGAGGGCUGCUCAACGGGGGCCUGUUUCCUUUCAAAACAAGCCUAGCCCACAUAGCAAUUUGAAGAGAGAGGUUUUACGGGGCCCAAUAAUAAAAUCUUAGUCUCUGUUAUUUAUUCCAAGCCCAGCCCACCUUCUUCUAUAGACAUAAGCCAUUCACAGAGCCGUCGUUCUAACGAAACUUCUAUAACUUUCUGGAAUUCACCGGAGAAGAAGAGAUGGAUGAAUUUAUCUAUAGCCGCGGUUGGUGGAGGCCCUGUCAAGUGAAAUCUAUUAGAGCAUCUCCAGCAGUCUAUUAAAACAUCCUUUUGUAUAAAAUAUAAACUGCCACGUAUUAUGUGAAAAUUAUUUUUAUCUCCAACUGCCACGUCACUAAUGUGUCAAAUGGUUGUAUAUAUUUUACACGACCAUUUUACACUGUCACAUUAGUAUAUUUUCUUUCUCCUCCCUCUUUUUCAUUCCAUUAACGAAUCAACCAUAUAUUAAGUAGGUUUGUAAAAUUUAUGUGGGUCCUGGCAUGACACGUGAUUGAUUAUUAUUGGCGGAUACAUUUUUACACAAACGAUAUAAAAUAAUAGCUGGAGCUAAAGAUGAGUAGUCUAAAUUUUUUGUGUAAAUCUACUAUGACUGCCUGGCCUUUGCGAGAGGUCGAUUCACAAGGUCAAUAUGAAUGUGGUUUUGGAAGUUUUGGAAAGUCAAUUUUACAGGGACCAAUGGCUUGAUUCAUUUUAUAAUUAGUGAAUAAUUAAUUUAAUAGAAAAGAUAGUAUGUUUAAAAUUCUAAUUAAACUAAACAAAAUAACAAAUGCAAAUAAAAGAAAAGAUAAAUGGAUAACGGAAUGGAGAUAGAGAUACUUAGGUCAUAGACUUCACCUUUGGCCAUGUAAUUGUACCAUUGUAAUCAAAUUGGGGAAAAUAAUUGUGCAAUUACAGAAUUGUGGCUAUAAGCACACAAUCAUGGUUAAGAGAAUAUGUAAAUUGCAUCAAUAAGCAUAACUCAUCAAAGCUAAGCAUGAAUUGUCUACCUGCCUACUUCUACACUAGUGUUGUAGCUCAACCCAUCAAAUCUAAGUAUGAACUAUCAAAUCAAGUGCAAAUACAUCAAUUAAGCACCAUUGUUUAACCAUUAACCAUACAACUACAAGUAGUGAAGAUGUUGAGAUCAAUAAACCACAAUCAAUGCAUAAGACAAUGUAAAGAUGAUAAGGAGAUUAAUUGAACAAUUAAACACACAACUAAUCUUGGUACAACCAACUAUAAUUCGCAAGGUUAAACAAUUUACACAAUUAAACCCCAAAUUGAAGACAAAUAAUACAAUACUCGGCUUAGGGCUUCAUCCAAGCCCUAAGAGAAGAAAUCGCUAGCUAUAGAGAUGACAAAGAUGAACAUUAAAACUCCAGUCUCCAUCUCCAAGCACAACCCAAGAUCUUCAAUGGUUGAGAGAGGGUUUCUAAAGAGACAAAGUCUUCAAAAGUUGGCCUCUCAUCAACUCUAAUCCGCAUCCUCCUCCAAAGGAGGCUUCAUCCUCUACAUAUGCUCAGAUUUGUGGUUCUAGGAUGGUUAGAACUUGGCCCAAGGAUCUUACAUUUGAUGCCCAGCUGACGUUGGUUCGAAAAGAGCUUCAGAUCUGAUUUUGUAUAGCUUCUGCGUUGAACUCGAUUGUUCGAGCUUAAGGCUCGAUUGAUUGAGUUUAAGGCUCGAUCGAUUGAGCCUCAAAUAGUGCUCGGUCGAUUGAGCUGAACAAUGAAUUAUGCACUUCAGCGUUCUUUUGCUCCCAUUCCUCGCCAAGACUCUGUUUGACCUUCCCAAGGGCUUCAAGGCAUUAGAUUUAGCUCGUUUAAGCCUUAUGAACCUGAAAUCGAAAGUAAAACAAAUUAAGACUAAAACGGAAAAAUAAAGAUAGAUCAAGGUUCUAAUAUAUCCAAGGUUAAGGGUUGAAAUGUACAUAUUUCAACACUUAUCACACCCCCAAACUUAAAUAUUGCUAGUCGGCAAUGAGUAAAGAAAAUAAAAUAAAUGCAAUAACCAACUAAAUAAAAAUAAUAAAAAUAUAGUGCUAUUUUCGUAAGGAUCACGGUUGCAUUUAGCAUAUGCAAUAAGCCUUUUACCCCUAGGUUAUCCCUAGAGGAUGAGUGGACUCAUGUGAGGGUUUUCAGAAAUGAUACUCAUAAACAUCAAAGGUUCAUCUUCACUAAAGAAGCAUUAAAGCAUAUUUCCACAAUUAUCAAGAAAAGACUACCUCAAGUAUGUAAAUUUCAGCCAUUUCUAAGCUAUUCUCAAUAUUUCAACAUCAUAGAAGCAAAUAUGGUCCCCACACAUCAAGCAAGUCAACCAUGGCUAUCAAAAUCAAUUCUAGCAUCAUUUUUUAGUGAACCGACAUAUACAUAUGUUGUUAUCUUAGCAUAGUCAAUGUAAAGAUCACAAUCCGGCCUCAAACUAACACACAUCUCAAAUACCAAUCAUCAAAACUAUAAAUGAACUUUUUAUUCAAUUUUUUUUUUUUUGAAUGGAAUCGAAAAUGAAAGCAUAGUGUAAUGUAAAGAUCUCUUAAGUUCUCUAGAAGACUUAUGUAACGAACGUUGGAUCAAUAGCUCUCAAACCGGACAGCUUUAGGGCAUUAGGUGUGAAGACACUCCUAAUGACUUAAUAGCUCAAAUCAACUAGGUUACAAAUUAAGACAACUCUCACUUCUCAUUUCCUAACUCUUCACCUCUGUUGGUGAGAGCAUUCAUUACUUUAUCUGGACCCUUCGCCUUUUUGAUGCUAGAAUUCAAUGCUUAAUGAUCCCGGUUACUUAGCAAAAAAGGUUGUUAAUUAGCAUGCAAGGUCAUUUUGUCAAGAUUAAUGACUCCUCAAAGCCUGCACACCAAAACUUCACCAUCUAUUAGAAAGUAUGGAUCGCAAUGGGGCAAGCUCUGGAUAGGGAACCUCCGCUCCAUCUUACCCCCAAGAAACAUUUACUUCUUAAAGCUAUCCUGAGCCCAAGGCAGGGUGUGUUUUGCAUUGGUAAUCCUCAAGUUCAUGCUCUACGUCAAUGAAACAUGGCAGCGGCUUCGUGGAGGAAUGUAAUGAAAUUUUAUUUAAUUAAUGAAAAUAGUUUGCCACAUGGAACACUGUACCUUUUGCAGCAUGCUUUUGCAUGACAGACUUCACAGUUGGGCUGUAUGCAUCAAAGGUUGAAAACUAGGGGAUUUAUUGAGUUGAAUUCACCCAGGGAAACAAAAAAAGAAGGUUCAUUCGAAUUUGACUUCUCAACCCCAAGAUCAUGUAGUAUGGUUAUCACCUAUGUUACCCGGAUUCUUCAAAAGUAGGUAAGGUACUCAUGUUGGACACACAAUACUCGGACAUGGGUAUGUGUAUCCGAAACCUUUGGUUGGACAUGUGCCUAAAAAACAGAUGCAAUAAUUCAUUGUUAUCAUAUUAUUGCUUCAAAAUAAAUGAAUUGAUUAUAUAAGACACUGUGUUACAUAAUGACAUUGUUUUACUUUAGAAACUAAAAUAAGUUAUAAAAUUAUAUUAAUAUUUAGUAAUAUCCAUGUGGCUUGUUUGGGGAUUUGGCAUAUCCGAUGCAUGAAUAUACACGUACCCAAGUUCAGGUAAUAUAUUUUAUCGCACGUUGUUAAGCUUGAAGCAAUCCACAAUUACUUGCAUCCCUCAUUGAAAGUUUAUUAGAACAUAGAAUCUGUAAAGCUUUUGCAGUGGCACAUUGUCUGCACCCUCAUACCGAACCCAAUAUUUGGCGUUAUAGGUUACCCAAAAAUUUGGAUCAAUUUUUUUUUUGCAAGCAAUCUGAUGUGAUCACUAGUAUAGUUGAAGCAAUGACAGUGUUUGCUUGAGUGGUUUACAUUUCUACUAUACUUUUAGCUAAAAAUAUGUUUCAUU